rnacentral:sRNA from 1 species
GAGGGAAGAGACAUCGUGCCAGUGAAAGAAAACUUCAACCCAAUCACCGGGAUUUUGGUCAUUGGAAAUCUGACAAAUUUUGAACAAGGUUAUUACCAGUGUACUGCCAUCAACAGACUUGGCAAUAGUUCCUGCGAAAUCGAUCUCACUUCUUCACGUGAGUUGACCAUACAACUUUAACAGUUUCUCCUUAAAUCAAGUAGUCUGGGCCUGUCAGCCAAAUAAAUUAGUUAGGAUCCCCGGUUAGUGCUUCCUGCUUCUCUGGAGAUUUGUGUGCUUUAUAUACAGGCUGAUAUAAUGAAUGACCAUCCUAAUAUCUAAUGCUCACAUAAUAAUAUAUGCCAUAUGCUGCCCUAAAUCCUUUACAAAAAGCAAUUUGUUUAAGCUUCACAAAAUCACUAGAAGGUAAGUAUUACUAUUCAAUAAUAAAAAAGAAGCCUUUCUGAUAACAGCAGGCUGAAUUUCUCUUUUUGAUGCUGUUGGUAAAUCCAGGUGACACUGUAGCUCUGACAAACAUAUACCUUGCAAAGAUCUGCCACUAAUAAUAAUAGUAUUAUAAUAAUAACACUUGUACCCACAAUCACGGUAGCUACUAUUUGUGGAGCACGAAUUAUGCUGAGUAUUAUCUCACUCUUUCCUCCCA